CCCUACGGGACGCAGCAGUGGGGAAUCUUGCACAAUGGGGGCAACCCUGAUGCAGCGACGCCGCGUGAGCGAUGAAGCCCUUCGGGGUGUAAAGCUCUUUCGUCAGGGAAGAUUAUGACGGUACCUGGAGAAGCAGCUGCGGCUAACUACGUGCCAGCAGCCGCGGUAAUACGUAGGCAGCGAGCGUUGUUCGGAGUUACUGGGCGUAAAGGGUGUGUAGGCGGUUCUUUAAGUUUGGUGUGAAAUCUCCCGGCUCAACCGGGAGGGUGCGCCGAAUACUGAGGGACUAGAGUAUGGGAUGGGAAAGUGGAAUUCCUGGUGUAGCGGUGAAAUGCGUAGAUAUCAGGAGGAACACCUGUGGUGUAGACGGCUUUCUGGACCAUAACUGACGCUGAGACACGAAAGCGUGGGUAGCAAACAGGAUUAGAUACCCCGGUAGC
rnacentral:rRNA from 1 species